CGAUCGGUAGCCGGACUGAGAGGUUGAACGGCCACAUUGGGACUGAGACACGGCCCAGACUCCUACGGGAGGCAGCAGUGGGGAAUAUUGCACAAUGGGGGAAACCCUGAUGCAGCGACGCCGCGUGGAGGAAGAAGGUCUUCGGAUUGUAAACUCCUGUUGUUGGGGAAGAUAAUGACGGUACCCAACAAGGAAGUGACGGCUAACUACGUGCCAGCAGCCGCGGUAAAACGUAGGUCACAAGCGUUGUCCGGAAUUACUGGGUGUAAAGGGAGCGCAGGCGGGAAGACAAGUUGGAAGUGAAAUCUAUGGGCUCAACCCAUAAACUGCUUUCAAAACUGUUUUUCUUGAGUAGUGCAGAGGUAGGCGGAAUUCCCGGUGUAGCGGUGGAAUGCGUAGAUAUCGGGAGGAACACCAGUGGCGAAGGCGGCCUACUGGGCACCAACUGACGCUGAGGCUCGAAAGUGUGGGUAGCAAACAGGAUUAGAUACCCUGGUAGUCCACACCGUAAACGAUGAUUACUAGGUGUUGGAGGAUUGACCCCUUCAGUGCCGCAGUUAACACAAUAAGUAAUCCACCUGGGGAGUACGACCGCAAGGUUGAAACUCAAAGGAAUUGACGGGGGCCCGCACAAGCAGUGGAGUAUGUGGUUUAAUUCGACGCAACGCGAAGAACCUUACCAAGUCUUGACAUCCCUUGACAGACAUAGAAAUAUGUAAUCUCUUCGGAGCAAGGAGACAGGUGGUGCAUGGUUGUCGUCAGCUCGUGUCGUGAGAUGUUGGGUUAAGUCCCGCAACGAGCGCAACCCUUAUGGUCAGUUACUACGCAAGAGGACUCUGGCCAGACUGCCGUUGACAAAACGGAGGAAGGUGGGGAUGACGUCAAAUCAUCAUGCCCUUUAUGACUUGGGCUACACACGUACUACAAUGGCGUUAAACAAAGAGAAGCAAGACCGCGAGGUGGAGCAAAACUCAGAAACAACGUCCCAGUUCGGACUGCAGGCUGCAACUCGCCUGCACGAAGUCGGAAUUGCUAGUAAUCGUGGAUCAGCAUGCCACGGUGAAUACGUUCCCGGGCCUUGUACACACCGCCCGUCACACCAUGAGAGCCGGGGGGACCCGAAGUCGGUAGUCUAACCGCAAGGAGGACGCCGCCGAAGGUAAAACUGGUGAUUGGGGUGAAGUCGUAACAAGGUAGCCGUAGGAGAACCUGCGGCUG
rnacentral:rRNA from 1 species